GCUAUUACAACAAUGUCACAGUUCGUUUCCGGCGGAAAUAACAUAUCAUUCUGGGAAACAUCACACGGUGGAGCGCCCUCUACUAAUCGUCCACAUUCCUUGGAAGCUGAUGAUACAGUGCCACCUGUAAAAGUGAAACAAACGUCACAGUCAAACCUCGUAAAAUCGGCUGCAAACUAAACCAUCAGCAAGGUGAAAGUGCUCAAUAGCAAACUCACAACACACAGAUCGAGCAUUUGCCCGGACACAGUCGCACAACGUCAGCCGAUACUAGUAAGUGAUGUCGUCUGCUUAUAGAACACAACGUCAGUCGAUACUAGUAAGUGAUGUCGUCUGCUUAUAGAACACAACGUCAGCCGAUACUAGUAAGUGAUGUCGUCUGCUUAUAGAACACAACGUCAGCCGAUACUAAUAUGAGAGAAUCCGUGAACAAUUCAGAUUUAUGUAAUUAUCUCCCUUCUGUCCUCAAAAACUAUACGAGAAAGUAUAUUGGUGAAAACUACAGAAUUCCGUUAGGGCCAUCGCCUUUGAAUGAUUGUAUUGAUCUGAAACGCGAUACUCGAUAGUACGAUGAUAAAAACGCGAAAUCACGAAACCACGAUAAAGAAAACGCGACAGCACGAUGAUGACUUGAAAACGCGAUACUACGAUAACGAAAAUGCGAUAAUACAAUAGUACGAUGAUGAUAAUGCGAUAUACUAUCGUGUUUUCUACGGAAUUCCGUUAGGGCCAUCACCUUUGAAUGUGUUGUUCUGAAACGCGAUACGGGAAAUUACGAAACUACGAUAACGAAAACGCGACA